rnacentral:lncRNA from 1 species
UCUAGUGAACUAAAUUUAACAAUAUAAUAGCCCUCAUCAUGAUAAAAUAGCUCAGGCUCAGGAACAUGAGACCAGUGAAGAUUAAUAAAUCUUUGCAUUCCAUUAUACCCAGGGCUAUUACCUAGCACAAAUACCACAAGGGCACAUUUUCAUUUCACUUCUUCCUCCUCCACUUCUUCCUUCACCAGCUGACCAACUGGUUUGCCAUUAACAAGUGUAGGGGGAAUAUACUCUAACGACAUACCAUUUGCAGCAAGUCGGUUACUCUGGAAAAGACUAGCCCACUGUUUGGGUGGAUCUGAUUUUGGACCUUCAUCACAAACAGCCUUUGGAACAUCAAUUGGUGGUGGUUGUUGCAUGCAGAUCUGAACUCUAUUCUCAAGCUCCAUCGGAACAAUUACUGGAUUGAUGGGAGGCUCUGUAAUCCUCACAUUUGCUGUUGGUAUCAAGGAGACUCCAGAUGAUUGUGGAUCUAUUACUGCAUGAGGCAAUGGAACAGUUAUCUCAGCUGAUUUCAAUGGAAC